AGAGUUGAUAUGGCUCAGGAUGAACGCUAGCUACAGGCUUAACACAUGCAAGUCGAGGGGCAGCAUAACGAAAGCUUGCUUUGUUGAUGGCGACCGGCGCACGGGUGAGUAACGCGUAUCCAACCUUCCCUAUACUAGAGAAUAGCCCGGCGAAAGUCGGAUUAAUGCUCUAUGUUCUUCUUUGAUGGCAUCUGACGAGAAGCAAAGGUUUACCGGUAUAGGAUGGGGAUGCGUCUGAUUAGGUUGUUGGCGGGGUAACGGCCCACCAAGCCUACGAUCAGUAGGGGUUCUGAGAGGAAGGUCCCCCACAUUGGUACUGAGACACGGACCAAACUCCUACGGGAGGCAGCAGUGAGGAAUAUUGGUCAAUGGGCGAGAGCCUGAACCAGCCAAGUAGCGUGCAAGGAUGACUGCCCUAUGGGUUGUAAACUGCUUUUAUGCGGGAAUAAAGUCAGGUACGUGUACCUGUUUGUAUGUACCGCAUGAAUAAGGACCGGCUAAUUCCGUGCCAGCCGCAGC
rnacentral:rRNA from 1 species